rnacentral:rRNA from 1 species
CCUACGGGAGACAGCAGUGGGGAAUAUUGCACAAUGGGGGAAACCCUGAUGCAGCAACGCCGCGUGAGUGAAGAAGGUUUUCGGAUUGUAAAGCUCUGUUAGCAGGGAAGAGGAAGGACGGUACCUGCAGAGGAAGCCACGGCUAACUACGUGCCAGCAGCCGCGGUAAUACGGAGGGUGCGAGCGUUAAUCGGAAUUACUGGGCGUAAAGCGCUCGUAGGCGGUAUGUCAAGUCAAGGGUGAAAUCCCCGCGCUCAACGUGGGAACUGCCGUUGAAACUGGCAAACUGGAGUGUGUGAGAGGAUAGUGGAAUUCCAGGUGUAGGAGUGAAAUCCGUAGAUAUCUGGAGGAACAUCAGUGGCGAAGGCGACUAUCUGGCACAUAACUGACGCUGAGGAGCGAAAGCGUGGGUAGCAAACAGGAUUAGAUACCUGUAGUC